rnacentral:lncRNA from 1 species
GUUGGGGCCUCACCAUGUGCAUGGGAAAUUAGUGGUUAGAGUUGUUCUAUAGAUUUUGGACCAUUUAAUAAAAUAUUAUCAUAUUAUUUUAUAAUUUAAGAUUUUAAAAUUUAUUAUUUGAUUAAAAUAUGAAUAGAAAUAAAAUAUAUAGUUAAUUAUAAUUAGUUAUUUUUAAUCUAAUUUUUAUUGGGUUUUUUAAAAUCAUUGGAUGAGAUGGUGAUUGGUGAUGUUUUCCUGGGUGGCCCAAAUUCACCGGAUAAAAUAGUCCCAACCAAUAAUUUCUCGCAUAUAAUGGGCGCCGC